rnacentral:rRNA from 1 species
GUAGGGUCCGAGCGUUGUCCGGAAUUAUUGGGCGUAAAGGGCUUGUAGGCGGUUUGUCGCGUCGGAAGUGAAAACUCAGGGCUUAACCCUGAGCCUGCUUCCGAUACGGGCAAACUAGAGGGAUGCAGGGGAGAAUGGAAUUCCUGGUGGAGCGGUGGAAUGCGCAGAUAUCAGGAGGAACACCGGUGGCGAAGGCGGUUCUCUGGGCAUUUCCUGACGCUGAGAAGCGAAAGCGUGGGGAGCAAACAGGCUUAGAUACCCUGGUAGUCCACGCCGUAAACGGUGGGCACUAGGUGUGGGGAACAUUCCACGUUCUCCGUGCCGAAGCUAACGCAUUAAGUGCCCCGCCUGGGGAGUACGGCCGCAAGGCUAAA